rnacentral:rRNA from 1 species
AGUGAACGCUGGCGGUAGGCCUAACACAUGCAAGUCGAACGGCAGCACAGUAAGAGCUUGCUCUUACGGGUGGCGAGUGGCGGACGGGUGAGGAAUACAUCGGAAUCUACUUUUUCGUGGGGGAUAACGUAGGGAAACUUACGCUAAUACCGCAUACGACCUACGGGUGAAAGCAGGGGAUCUUCGGACCUUGCGCGAUUGAAUGAGCCGAUGUCGGAUUAGCUAGUUGGCGGGGUAAAGGCCCACCAAGGCGACGAUGGGUAGCUGGUCUGAGAGGAUGAGCGGCCACAUGGGGACGGAGAUACGGCCCAGACGGCGACGGGAGGCAGAAGUGGGGAAUAUUGCACAAGGGGAGGAAGACAGAUGCAGCAACGCCGCGUGCGGGAUGACGGCCGUCGGGUUGUAAACAGCUUUCGCCUGUGACGAAGCGUGAGUGACGGUAAUGGGUAAAGAAGCACCGGCUAACUACGUG